rnacentral:tRNA from 1 species
UCCCCGAUAGCUCAGUUGGUAAAGAAUCCGCCUGCAAUGCGGGAGACCCCGGUUCAAUCCCUGGGCUGGGAA